ACUUGCUGGAUCUCGAAUCUUUUGCUCCCUAGUUGACUACUGAUAUCACUAAUGUUGCUUUCUUUCUUGGUUGGCGUUGGCGUUGGCGUUGCCUUUGGCUUCCUUGGUAUGCACUUGGUGCGUGCUCCCUCUUCCUCCUUUCCUCCCAAUUGCAGCAACUGCGAGCUUCUAUCUGCACUAUAGGAGUUGGACCUCUUCAAAGCGGGGACCUCCUUCUUCUUAGUAUCAAUCAAGCUCCCACUAAAGUACUCCUUGUCUUCUAAUCUUGCCCCUCCAAAAUUCAUUAAAUCCUUGGUUGUUCCCUCCGGGUUCCCUCCUCCACGUGGCAACCUCCCUUUGUAAUGGCGGAUCAACG
rnacentral:misc_RNA from 1 species